AGUGAACGUUGGCGGUAGGCCUAACACAUGCAAGUCGAACGGCAGCACAGUAAGAGCUUGCUCUUACGGGUGGCGAGUGGCGGACGGGUGAGGAAUACAUCGGAAUCUACUUUUUCGUGGGGGAUAACGUAGGGAAACUUACGCUAAUACCGCAUACGACCUACGGGUGAAAGCAGGGGAUCUUCGGACCUUGCGCGAUUGAAUGAGCCGAUGUCGGAUUAGCUAGUUGGCGGGGUAAAGGCCCACCAAGGCGACGAUCCGUAGCUGGUCUGAGAGGAUGAUCAGCCACACUGGAACUGAGACACGGUCCAGACUCCUACGGGAGGCAGCAGUGGGGAAUAUUGGACAAUGGGCGCAAGCCUGAUCCAGCCAUACCGCGUGGGUGAAGAAGGCCUUCGGGUUGUAAAGCCCUUUUGUUGGGAAAGAAAAGCAGUAGGUUAAUACCCCGCUGUUCUGACGGUACCCAAAGAAUAAGCACCGGCUAACUUCGUG
rnacentral:rRNA from 1 species